rnacentral:lncRNA from 1 species
UGUACAGCCCACGGUGCCUGUGGGCUGUGUGGGGGCCCUGCUGCAGACGCGUGCUCAGCACCUGUCACCCACAGCUAAGUCACAAGAGCUGCUGGCACCUGUUUGCAGGGGAAUGUGGCAACAUGCACCCGGGUGCAUCCAGACAGCCUGGGUGAGCGGGAGAGCCACAAAGAACCAACUUCAUUCGUGUGAUUUCCAGAUGCAGGUCUGGUUCAGUUCUUGAUGCCCGAGUUUCAAAGUCUCCUACCUGACCAAGUGUCCUCGGCCUAGUUUGUACUGACCUUCUUUGAGGAGCACAGAUGGGAAACACAUUGGUGGCGAAGAUCUCCUGCAUCACCCCGAGGCUGCGGGAGAUCCCUUGGGAGCCAGCUGUCGGACUGAGGAGGAGGAGGGGUGCCACAGUCUCGAGGGGUUCACGCUGCUGGCCACAGCCCUGCAUGCCCCCUCGGCGCUCCCCAAGCUCUCGGGGACGAUUCAGAUCAGCUUUCCCCACAGCUUCAGGGCAGAGGCUGAAGUUGCAGACAGCAACGAUGGAGGCCUGCAGGUCAGGCACCGCGGCUGUCCCCAGCAACCCUGUUCUCAGAGACUCCCUCUGCGCCUGGAGCUAGUACCAGAGAGCCCCGGAGCUGGGCCUGGAGGACUUUACAUCCUCCUCACAGAGGGCCACGCUCUUGACCACCCCUACAUCUGUCUCUGCGGCGAUAAACUUUCCCUCGACUGGACUUCUGGCCAGAUUUUUUUUUGAGACAGUCUUGCUCAGUUGCCCAGGCUGGAGUGCAGUGGCGUCAUCUCAGUUCACUGCAAUGUCCACCUCCUGGGUUCAGGCAAUUCUCUGCCUCAGCCUCCCGAGUAGCUGAGAUUACAGGCGCCUGCCACCACACCUGGCUAAUUUUUUGUAUUUUUAGUAGAGAUGGGGAGUGGGGGGGCGGGUCUCACCAUCUUGGCCAGGCUGGUCUUGAACUCCUGACCUCGUGAUCCACCCGCCUCAGCCUCCCAAGGUGCUGGGAUUACGGGCAUGAGCCACUGCGCCCGGCCACUUCUGGUCAGACUUUAACAGACGAGCUACACGGUCUAAGCCAGCUGGGGCUCACCAGCGCCGGGCAAGGCCAGACCUGCGACCUGUCGAGAAGAUGUGGUCCUCCAGGAAAGCUCUACUUCAACGACAAAUAGGUGGGGUUACGUUCAUUUGGGUGAAAUGCAUCAGCUUUUAAAAUCACAGAAUGAAGUGAGUUCACUGUUAAUUAAAGGGUGCCAAGGUGACAGGCCUGGAACAAGAGCCCUUCAUUUUCACCAACAGGACCAGGCAAGAGACGGGAAGCCCUUCCACCGACCAUGGCCCUCUGUGCCUCUCUGCACCCUCCCACCCCACCCACGAGGGCCAGGCUGUGUGUCGGCCCGGCAGGAAAUUCAGGCUGACGUGGGACCCCACGGUAACUGCACCUGUGUCCCGCUUUGGUUCAUGUUACAACACACAUCCGAAAGAAAACCAAAGGGAGAAAAUAACCUCCUUGAACCUGCUUAAGAAAAAGCACCUAAGUUUUGGGUGGAGCUGUUUCUACUACUGUGAAGUCAGCCACUGAGCCGCAUUUCCAACACGACUUCCAGCAAAUCACCGUCAGCCACGUGCCGAGGCUGCCGGGCGCGUGAGAGUCUCACAAUGACAAUGUCCGGGAAGGAUUUCCAAACGUCAGGGUUAAGCAUGGGAGCGAUUCUCGUCCCCGCCACACCCGGAUCCGCCAGGACAGAGAAGCCGGUACCCCAGCGGGUGGUCUGCUUUUCUGCGCAGAAGCAC